AGUGGAGCCUGCGGCUUAAUUUGACUCAACACGGGAAACCUCACCAGGCCCGGACACCGGAAGGAUUGACAGAUUGAGAGCUCUUUCUUGAUUCGGUGGGUGGUGGUGCAUGGCCGUUCUUAGUUGGUGGAGCGAUUUGUCUGGUUAAUUCCGAUAACGAACGAGACUCUAGCCUGCUAACUAGGCGUAAUUCGACAUCCCAAAGGCCCGCCGGUUUGGGGUUUCGACUCCUUGCCGCGCGCGGUUUUUACUGUCGGCGUACAAACAAUUCUUCUUAGAGGGACAGGCGGCUUCUAGCCGCACGAGAUUGAGCAAUAACAGGUCUGUGAUGCCCUUAGAUGUUCUGGGCCG
rnacentral:rRNA from 2 species